AUGGAUGAUAACAACUUAUGCAUUUUGAAUUGGAAUUUACGUGGUUUGAACUGCCCAGACCGCCGUGCAGUUGUAAAAGAAACCAUUGCCUCCACCCCGUGCAACAUUGUAUGUCUUCAGGAAACCAAACUUGCUAUUGUGGAUCCUUUUGUUGCUGCUUUUCUGGGUGGCCACCGUUUGAAAAGCUUCGCUGAGCGCCCUGCGAUUGGCACCCGUGGGGGCAUCCUUCUCUUGUGGAAUGAAGACCUCAUCAAGAUUGAUAAUGUGCGCUUUGGGACCUUCUUCCUCUCGGCCAUGGUGACGAUCAUCGGCUCAGGCACCUCCUUCCAGCUCACAACUGUUUAUGGCCCCACCAGAGGAAAUUUGAAGGAUGCGUUUUUCCUUGAGAUGGUUGGGCAGAAACCUACUAAUGGCACGAGAUGGCUUAUCAUCGGAGAUUUCAACCAAGUCUAUCGUGCCUGAGAUAAGAACCGUUCCAAUGUUGAUCGGAGCCGCAUUGUCCGGUUCCGCAACACUCUCAAUGCUUGCGAGCUCAAGGAGAUACAUUUGCAGAAUAGGAAAUUCACGUGGAGCAACGAGCGAGCUGAUCCGACCAUGAGCAAACUUGAUAGCUUUUUUUGUAAUGAAGAUUGGGAUAUCCAAUUCGGCACACACCUCCUACAUGCCUUGUCAUCUUCAUUGUCCGACCAUUGUCCUCUCCUCCUCGCUAGUGACUCCGGGCCCUCUCGGCCAAAGUGCUUCCGCUUCGAAAACUUUUGGAUCAAGAUGCCUAACUUCAAGAAGGUUGUUCAAGAUGCUUGGAACGAGGGAGUCCCCCAUGUUGAGCCAUACCAAAUCCUCUUUCACAAGCUAAAGAGAGCUAGUCAGCGCCUACGCACUUGGAGCAAAAAGAUCUUCUCCAAUCAUAAAGUCCAACUCCACAUGGCUCUUGAUAUCAUCCUUAGACUGGAUUUGGCCCAAGAAAGUCGAGCUUUGAGCAGUGAGGAAAGAGAUCUUCGGAGUAAGCUAAAAAGGAAGAUAGUGGCCCUUGCUGUUCUAGAGAGAGCCAGAAAGAGACAGAGCUCCAGGGUUACUUUGCUUAAAGAGGGCGAC
rnacentral:rRNA from 1 species